AUUGAACGCUGGCGGCAGGCCUAACACAUGCAAGUCGAACGAGUGGCGGACGGGUGAGUAAUGUCUGGGAAACUGCCUGAUGGAGGGGGAUAACUACUGGAAACGGUAGCUAAUACCGCAUACCAUCAGAUGUGCCCAGAUGGGAUUAGCUUGUGGGUGGGGUAACGGUUCACCUAGGCGACGAUCCCUAGCUGGUCUGAGAGGAUGACCAGCCACACUGGAACUGAGACACGGUCCAGACUCCUACGGGAGGCAGCAGUGGGGAAUAUUGCACAAUGGGCGCAAGCCUGAUGCAGCCAUGCCGCGUGUAUGAAGAAGGCCUUCGGGUUGUAAAGUACUUUCAGCGAGGAGGCGUUACCCGCAGAAGAAGCACCGGCUAACUCCGUGCCAGCAGCCGCGGUAAUUC
rnacentral:rRNA from 1 species